rnacentral:rRNA from 1 species
GACGUAGGGCGCGAGCGUUGUCCGGAUUUAUUGGGCGUAAAGAGCUCGUAGGCGGCUUGUCGCGUCGACUGUGAAACCCCGCGGCUCAACCGCGGGUCUGCAGUCGAUACGGGCAGGCUAGAGUUCGGUAGGGGAGACUGGAAUUCCUGGUGUAGCGGUGAAAUGCGCAGAUAUCAGGAGGAACACCGAUGGCGAAGGCAGGUCUCUGGGCCGAUACUGACGCUGAGGAGCGAAAGCGUGGGGAGCGAACAGG